GGGGUUGUGGCUCAGUGGUAGAGCGCUCGCCUAGCAUGUGUGAGGCCCUGGAUUCGAUCCUCAGCACCACA
rnacentral:tRNA from 1 species